rnacentral:rRNA from 1 species
UAAACGAUGCUAACUCGUUUUUUGUGCUUCGGCAUGAGAGACUAAGCGAAAGUGAUAAGUUAGCCACCUGGGGAGUACGUUCGCAAGAAUGAAACUCAAAGGAAUUGACGGGGGCCCGCACAAGCGGUGGAUUAUGUGGUUUAAUUCGAUGAUACGCGAGGAACCUUACCAAGACUUAAAUGGGAAUUGACAGAUUUAGAAAUAGAUCCUUCUUCGGACAAUUUUCAAGGUGCUGCAUGGCUGUCGUCAG